rnacentral:lncRNA from 1 species
AAGUGUGCAAUAGAUGUGGGCCUGUGGACACCAGCAGAAGCUGGGGAACGACGCCUGACUGGGCAGGCCUGCCGCACAGUUUGGAUUCAACCAGAAAACUUGCGGCAACACCGGAGAAAGUGGCUGCUGUGAAGAGUGCAGAUUGGUGUGGGAUUUGUGAUGCCACUCAACAAGUGGCAUUACAUACUAAAGUGUACCUCCGAAGCCAAGUGCGCAUUAGGUCUGGCACAGCACCUGUGGACACCAACACAAGCUGGGGAAAGAAGCCCGACUGGGCCGGCCAGCCGGACUAUCUCUGAUGCAUCUGGGAAGCUUCUGGCAACACCAGAGAAAGUGGCUGCUGUGAAGAACUGCCUGGAGAAGUACAUCGGGGAACAUCCGAUGGGGCCACCAGCACCACCUCCAGAGCACCACCUUGCUUCUGUAACGAAGCACCUUUGGAGCUUCAC